rnacentral:rRNA from 1 species
GACGAACGCUGGCGGCGUGCCUAAUACAUGCAAGUAGAACGCUGAAGCGAGGAGCUUGCUCUUCUUGGAUGAGUUGCGAACGGGUGAGUGACGCGUAGGUAACCUGCCUUGUAGCGGGGGAUAACUAUUGGAAACGAUAGCUAAUACCGCAUAACAAUGGAUGACACAUGUCAUUUAUUUGAAAGGGGCAAUUGCUCCACUACAAGAUGGACCUGCGUUGUAUUAGCUAGUAGGUGAGGUAAUGGCUCACCUAGGCGACGAUACAUAGCCGACCUGAGAGGGUGAUCGGCCACACUGGGACUGAGACACGGCCCAGACUCCUACGGGAGGCAGCAGUAGGGAAUCUUCGGCAAUGGGGGCAACCCUGACCGAGCAACGCCGCGUGAGUGAAGAAGGUUUUCGGAUCGUAAAGCUCUGUUGUAAGUCAAGAACGGGUGUGAGAGUGGAAAGUUCACACUGUGACGGUAGCUUACCAGAAAGGGACGGCUAACUACGUG